rnacentral:rRNA from 1 species
UACGGAGGGUGCAAGCGUUAAUCGGAAUUACUGGGCGUAAAGCGUGCGCAGGCGGUUUGUUAAGUCUGUUGUGAAAUCCCCGAGCUCAACUUGGGAAUUGCAAUGGAUACUGGCAGGCUGGAGUAUGGUAGAGGAAGGUGGAAUUCCCGGUGUAGCAGUGAAAUGCGUAGAGAUGUGGAGGAACACCGAUGGCGAAGGCAGCCUUCUGGGCCAACACUGACGCUCAUGCACGAAAGCGUGGGGAGCAAACAGG